UACGUAGGGUGCGAGCGUUAAUCGGAAUUACUGGGCGUAAAGCGUGCGCAGGCGGUUUUGUAAGCCAGAUGUGAAAUCCCCGGGCUUAACCUGGGAAUGGCAUUUGGGACUGCAAGGCUGGAGUGUGGCAGAGGAGACUGGAAUUCCCGGUGUAGCAGUGAAAUGCGUAGAUAUCGGGAGGAACAUCUGUGGCGAAGGCGACACCCUGGACCAGCACUGACACUGAGGCACGAAAGCGUGGGGAGCAAACAGG
rnacentral:rRNA from 1 species